UUCUUUUUUUUUGAAAAGAUUUCCCUAUCCCCAGCCUACUUCCGAGGUGGGCACUUGGGCGUCUAGGAGUGGGAUCUCGCCAUGGAGGAUUCCAGCGGCGCCUCGCCGUCGCCGGCCAUCCUACGGAAUAGGUACUGGAUCCUCCUCCACGGCCGCAGCGUUCCCAACGAGCGCGGCCUAAUAGUCUCAUCUCUGGAGAACGGCACGAAGCUGGAGUUCGGGCUGGCACCGCCGGGAUUCGAGCAGGCGCGCGCUGCCGGCGAGCUGCUCCAGAAGGAGCUCGAAGAGAUGGGUGUGCCGUUGGAUUCAGUCAAGAUCCGUUACUCGCCCUUCUCACGAACCACGGAGACGGCGAGAGUGGUUGCCGGUGUGCUCAGCAUCCCCUUUGAAGGUCCUAGCUGCGAAGCGGUGAUGGGACUCUGUGAGCACUACUUUGGGCCAUCAUACGAGUUACAUUCACAUGAUAAGUAUGCAGAGGUAUGGGCAGUAGAUGAAGCACAUCCCCAUAUGGCUCCAGAAGGUGGCGAGAGUGUCGCAGAUGUUGCUAAUAGACUAUUAGCUGUGCUGUCUUCUACAGAGACAGAUUUUCAUAGCUCAGAAAUGCUUAUUGUCAGCCAUGGGGACCCACUACAAAUCUUUGAGGCUGUACUCAGUGGAGCCAAGGAGAACGCAUCUUUCCUUGAUGGCGUGAGAGACCUGAAAGUGAAAGGCACGGCUGUGGCAUCUGUGCUAUCACAGCAUCGUAAGUUUGCACUUGCCACAGGAGAGGACCGCGAUUUGAAUGGAUAGCAUGUCAGUUUUGCCAUGUUGGCAGUGGAUUGGCUGGUUUGCCAUUAGGGGCAGACAUGCUUGCAGCUCAAAUGUGAGGGAGAGAUUUAGUCCACUUAACCCCGACGCUCGUUCUAUCUCCCUUUCUUUGUUGCGGCAAGAUGAGGAUUGUGCAUCUGCUGACAUGGUCCGGCCCAGGCUUGCCCUUGAUAUCUUUAGAGUUCAGAGCAGGCCCUGUCAUCCGAUUCCAGUUUGGAAGAUGUUCAAAUUGUCGUGAUCUGGGAACUUUUUUUCGGUUGUAAUUGUUGCAAUCUGGAACUAAUCUUGCAUGGAAUUCCCCGUCCUUGCUUGUUCGAGGUACCUUUGCUGUUGCUUCGUUUCUGUUUUCUUUUCUUUCUCUGUUUUGGACUGUUCUGCGUUGUAAGCUGUCUGUAGGUAGACGAAGCAAAAGUAAUGCAUAGAAGUGCUAA